AGCCUAACUGGAGUAAUGAGUACUGCUAAUUCCUCACCACCGAAGUUCAAUUCCUCGGUAGACUCGU
rnacentral:tRNA from 1 species